rnacentral:rRNA from 1 species
AGCAGCCGCGGUAAUUCCAGCUCCAAUAGCGUAUAUUAAAGUUGUUGCAGUUAAAAAGCUCGUAGUUGAAUUUCGGGGUUAGUAGAUCGGUCGUGCCACUGGUAUGUACUGGUCUUACUGAUUCCUCCUUCCUGAUGAACCGUAAUGCCAUUAAUUUGGUGUUGCGGGGAGACUGGACUGUUACUUUGAAAAAUUAGAAUGUUUAAAGCAGGCUCGCGCUUGAAUACAUUAGCAUGGAAUAAUGAAAUAGGACGUUUGAUUCUAUUUUGUUGGUUUCUAGGAUCGACGUAAUGAUUAAUAGGGAUAGUUGGGGGCAUUAGUAUUCAAUUGUCAGAGGUGAAAUUCUUGGAUUUAUUGAAGACUAACUACUGCGAAAGCAUUUGCCAAGGAUGUUUUCAUUAAUCAAGAACGAAAGUUAGGGGAUCGAAGACGAUCAGAUACCGUCGUAGU